GGGGGCAAAGAGGGGAGGCAGAGACCGACGAGUUAAGAAAACCCAAAUAAAGGCAAUAUUUCUGCUCCACCAAUCUCUCUUCUUUCUCUCUCCUCUUCCACGCUUUCUCUCUCCUCUUCUCUCUCUCCGGUCGAUCUCCGUCUCCAUCUAAAUUCUCCAUAAGCAACAAAGUUUUUUCAAUCUUCUGAAUUGCCUUUACUACGACAAACAGGAAAAAAAUCGUC